GACGAACGCUGGCGGCGUGCCUAAUACAUGCAAGUAGGACGCAGUUGCGAACGGGAGAGUAACGCGUAGGUAACUACCUAUUAGAGGGGGAUAACUAUUGGAAACGAUAGCUAAUACCGCAUACUAGUAGAUGGACCUGCGUUGUAUUAGCUAGUAGGUAGGGUAAUGGCCUACCUAGGCAACGAUACAUAGCCGACCUUCGAGGGUGAACGGCCAACCUGGGACGUCAACACGGGCCAGACUACUACGGGAGGCAGCAGUAGGGAAUCUUCGGCAAUGGGGGGAACCCUGACCGAGCAACGCCGCGUGAGUGAAGAAGGUUUUCGGAGCGGAAAGCUCUGUUGUUAAGGAAGCGGUACUUAACCAGAAAGGGACGGCUAACUACGUGCCAGCAGCCGCGGUAAUUC
rnacentral:rRNA from 1 species